CGUGGUCCUCGCGCCGUGUCUUGGAAGUAAUCUGCGGCUGGUGCAAAGUCUAAAUACGAGCAUAGUUGGUCGGCACCUUUAGACGCGCUGUUUUUCCGCAUGCCUAGUUUUGUAGGUCGCGCAAUCUCAAGUUUCCGACACUCGGUGAAGCGAGAGGUUGCACGAAGCAUUCGCUUCGCGGCCCUCUCCAUCACGUAAGCGUUGUGACAGCGAGUGCGCGCGGUCAUGAAAUCUGAUCAUGUUUCUCCUUUUGCAUGUGACACCAUGUUUGCUAAUUUAAUUAGUAAGUGAAUGAUUAUUGCAAUAUAUAUACGGCCGAGAAAACUACCAACACUACUUCUUGUAGUCGUCUGAUAAUUUGCAAUCGCUUCCGAUGCUACGCCUUUCGAGCGAAACUCCGACUUUUUUAGCAAACAUUUGCGUUUGACUUUGCCUGGUUCGACUGCUCCAAUAGGUAUAUCAGGCCUCGGUCAAGCGUAAUAUGCAAACGAACAACUAAAGGCAGUGAUAGUUAAGUAAUGCAAGCUCCUUUCGCAAAGGCGCGUUACGCCUGCUCUGUCUUCAUUAGCGCUCCCAGAAUAUACGAGGGUCGUUUGAUAAGUCUGGUAAAAAUACAAGAGAUGGCGCUACAAUUCUGUUUUCUUGUAGGUGGCGCGCGAGAAGCGCCCUUCAUAUGACGGCAGAACUUGUUUACACUGGUACCGACAGUUAGUAAGCUUCUGACAGCCAUUGGCAACGCGCUUUGUGGCGAAUUGCGCCAAAAUGGAUAAAGGUGAAUUUUGAGCAGUGAUCAAACGCUUUUAUUUAAAACACUGGACGACUGCCCAAAUUAAAGCCGAGUUGAGUGAAGUUGAUGGAAACUCUGGAGCAUCACUGAAAACCAUUUACUACUGGAUAAGUGAAUUCAAACGUGGCCGAACAUCGACGCAAGAUGAAGCAGGUCCGGGGCGUCCAGUGGAGGUCACCACGCCAGAAAUGGUAUCGAAAAUCCAUGGAAUUGUCAUGGAAGACCGCCGAGUGAAGGACUGUAAAACCCACUCGGAAGAAACUGCGGCGCAAGAUGAAUGCUCCUGACGCCGAGAAAACAUCGACGACGGCCGGCGGUGUCGGAGCGCACGAAACGCGCGCGACAGCCGAAGACGAUGCCGACUACGAGGCUCUGGUGACCGAGCACCAAUCGGGAAUCGGCACACCCCACCGAACGGUAUAGCAGCCUCGCUGCUAUCACGUGACGUGGGUAACGCAGAAGAUAACAUUCGACCUUAGUAAAGACGACAUCAGCGCCCUCCUCGUUUCUUGCUUGUUCUUUCUUGCUCCUCGUGUUGGCAUCUGUAUACGUACAAAACGCAGACUACCCGGC
rnacentral:misc_RNA from 1 species